UUGCGGUCAAAAGCUCGUAGUUGGGUUUCUGCCGGUGAGCGACGGUCCGCCCGAGUGGUUGGUACACGUCGCGCCGCCGGCAUCUUCCUGGGGAAUGUGUCUGCACUUCACUGUGUGGCGCGGGAUCCAGGACGUUUACUUUGAGGAAAUUACAGUGCUUCAAGCAGGCUCACGCUCUCUGAAUACGUUAGCAUGGAAUAAUAGCAUCGGACCUCGAUCCAAAGCUGUUGGUUUCUUGGAUCUGGGUAAAGGUGAAUAGGGAUUGUUGGGGGCAUUCGUAUUUAACUGUCAGGGGUGAAAUUCUUGGACUUGUUGAAGACGGACUACUGCGAAAGCAUCUGCCAAAGAUGUUCUCAUUGAUCAAGAACGAAAGUUAGGGGAUC
rnacentral:rRNA from 1 species